rnacentral:rRNA from 1 species
UUUUCCUACGGGAGGCAGCAGUGGGGGAUAUUGCACAAUGGGGGGAACCCUGAUGCAGCGACGCCGCGUGGGUGAAGGAGCGUUUCGGCGCGUAAAGCCCUAUCGGCAGGGAAGAAGGAGGACGGUACCUGACUAAGAAGCCACGGCUAACUACGUGCCAGCAGCCGCGGUAAUACGUAGGUGGCAAGCGUUAUCCGGAUUUAUUGGGUGUAAAGGGCGUGUAGGCGGGGACGCAAGUCAGCUGUGAAAACUCAGGG